AUGUGCUAGUCUUCGCAUGGAGACACACUUGCUGAUCAAAGUUUCAAUCGGGGUCUGUGCCUGCAGACUACAUAACACACACAAUCUGAAUUUAGAAACGUCUUAUUUUAUUGAUACAACUCCUACUGUCCUUUUCUCAUGCAAAAAUCAUACUGGUUGGCAUCUCUGAAUGGCACAUUUUCCAGAGGAAUGAUGUUCUGUUUAGCAAAUAAAGAUUUAUAAUGCCUCUGUCCACCAUAGGCGGUGAUUGUUCAUCCGUUCAUCCCAUCCUUGUUCUUGUGAAAAUUCAUGAACCACUUGAUAAACUUUUUCCAACUAUGUAUAUAUAUACAGGAGUGACAGUGAUCUGCUCAGUUUUGCAGUGUCAAUGUCAAAGGUCAAAGACCAUAGAGGUAAUCAGGUCAGAGGUCAGAGAUACAUCUAAGUAUCUUGUGAUUAAAAGCAGUUGUAGGGAUCAAAACUUCAAAUUGCCUUUGAUUUGGGUUUGAUAAUCUGAUUAUAUCCUAGUAUAUCAAGUUCAGAGUCACAGGUCAAAGACCACAGAGGUAAUCAGGUCAGAGGUCAGAGAUACAUCUAAGUAUCUUGUGAUAAAAGCAGUUGUAGGGAUCAAAACUUCAAAUUGCCUUUGAUUUGGGUAUGAUGAUCUGAUUAUAUCCUAGUAUAUCAAGGUCAGAGUCACAGGUCAAAGACCACAGAGCAGUGACCAAAGAACUCUUGAUCAGGGUUCCGUUUCAUAAGGACGUAUUACAUUUACAAUAACAAAUGCACAAUAUCUAUAAUGAAUGUACGAUCAACCAAUCAGAUUAAAGGACAAUAGUAGUCUAUAACUUUAAUUGCAAAUUUGUUAUAAGAAAUUUCAUGAGCAGGCAUCUGAUUAGCCUUUUGGAUCACAAGGUCAAAGGUCAAAAUAUCUUGUACUGUUGGUAAAUAAAGAAAUAUUUAUGGGUACAAUUUCAAACCUUGCUCCAUGGAUGGCUCAUGUAUCGGUUUUGUAAUACUCUUUACCAGUAUUUCAUUCUCUAAAAGAAGGGUUAUGAUCUAAUGGAAAUAUUGUUUUAAAGGAAAAUGAAACCCUUGAAGCAGGUUAGCUUAUAUGGAAGCAGAAAGUUCAAAGAAUAAGAUCAUCAAAAGUUUGUGUAAAAUCGGUCGAACAAUAAGAAAGUUACAAGCAUUUUGAAUGUUGAAAAAUCACUAAUGCUGUUGAGAUCCUCCAAUUGGCAAUGUGAAAAAGUGAUAGAUCUGUGAUGUCACACAUGUAAAACUCUCCCAUUUGGACACUUAAAAUAUUACCUCAAAAUAUCUCAUUUUUGCUCAUUCUAAUGAUAUGACAAAGAAGUCAUUCAUGAUACACUGUUGUGAAAUCAUUAUUACAUGCCCUCUCAUAAAAGAGGACACCUGGACCCUGUUGUGAAAGAGUUACGAUUGGGUUCCGAUCAAUUGCAACUAUGGACAGCCAGCAACGUCAACAUAUCAAUUCAAUUCAAUUCAAAAUGGUUUAUUUUGAUUAAAAAACUUUCAUUACAGCACAGAGCUGAAUUACAAAAAGUUUUUACAAUAUAAGAUUGAAAUCAUAAGGAAUAAACAAAGUGUGGCAUAUAACAACAAAAACAUAAUACAAUAAAACAACAAAUAUGGUGCACAAAGAGAAACUUAUAAGACAAAAUGUGUUCAAUAUAACGUUAAGAAUUACAGAACUAAAACAAAAAAUACAAAGUCAUAGAUGAGACAUACAAAUUAUGCAAAAAAGUACCAGAUCAUAUACAAUUAAGGAAUAGAUUAAAUAUAUGAAUACUCAAGAGCGAGCUGAAGGAUAAGGGGAAAAAUAUAGGCAGAAGUGAGGAGAAAAGGGGCAGAAGACAAAAAAAAACGAAGCAGCAAUUAAAUUAGAAGGCGGAUGAAAAAAAAA